ensembl:snRNA U6 U6 spliceosomal RNA
GUUCUCACUUUGACAACACAUAUAUUAAAAUUAGAAUGAUACAGAGAUUAGCGUAGGCCUUGCACCAGGAGGACAUACAAAUUCAUGCACUGUCCAUUUAA